AGUAGUGUAUGUUUGGGCAUAUACGUAUGCAUUUCUUUAACACUUUCAUCUCGUUCCUUGUGUUGUAGGCGCUGGUGGUGGCUGCAGAGAACCUGCAGAAGGAGCACCAGUGGAAGGAUGAUCUUGAUGUGGAUGAGACUAUCUACUACAAUGCCAAGGACAAGUUUGACAUUAAUGACACGGAAACACACCAGAACCGUGUCAAAGUAGAAUUCAAAGAGGAUCCAGUUUUCAAACGCCCUGUUUCAUACAACACAACAGCAGUGCACAUUCCUACUGAUAUCUACGAGGGCUGUGAGUACACACACACACACACACACAUCUUUGCAUGUGUUCUUUUUUUACGACUUUGCAUGGUAGCUAAAAUAUCAAUUUAUAAAAUCAAUAUUUCAGUGACAGCUCGGCUUUAUUGCUGCGUGUCAGGUGUGGACAGCCAGAGUCUUGUGGAAAAACUGCAGACUAAAUUUAGAGAGCAGCCCAGCUCAAGCACAGCACGCCUGGCCCCUGAGUGACCCCACAACCCCCCAAUAUCCUCCAGCAAGAGAAUAGCGCUCUCUCUCUGUCUCUUGAUUUAAAAGGUUAUUAGUCAUGAGUGUUUUGAGGUUACUACCAGUGGUGAGAAAGUUACUGUAGAUUAUGAGUAGCCUGUAGCUUGAGUAGAUCCAAGAUGUUUGUUUCUUCAU